rnacentral:misc_RNA from 1 species
ACUUGAAUCUCUCGAAUUUGGAGAGUGAAUGAGGAAAGGUUGGGAGGAAAAAGGUGAACUGUUAAAAGGAAAUUACUUAUGUACCUUCUUAUGUUUUAAAUUCACCCACCCUAAAAAUUGUGCUUUUCUUGGGCAACAUAGUAAAUUCACAAGAAGUGUGGUUUUUUGCUUCCUAUAUUCGUAGCUUUCCAAAUAAGAGAAAAUAAAAUUUAUCUGUAUUUUUCCACUUUUAUUUUCCUCCCAUCCAAACAAGGGAGAGAAAAUAAAUGAAGAAUUUUCUCUUUAUUUACCCUCCCCUCCUCAAUCCAUUUCAUUUCAUAGUUACCAAAUUCAUUCACCUCUUAUGGGUACUGCGAUCUGGGUGACGCGGAACUUUUGUAUCCCAAAUGGCUAAGGGACGCGAUCUGAGACGUUAAACUUGGGGUUUUGGCAAGAAAAUAAAGGGAGAAAGAAAAAAGGAGAAGAAGAAAGAGAA